rnacentral:lncRNA from 1 species
CCAGACCAUGGACCCAUCGGCGCACCAUAAACCAGCCAAUCAGCGAGUCUCGGCUCACCGCAAUGCAUCGCGAGCCCGAUCCACGCGCGCGGUCCAGGGCUCAUGAGGAGAGAGAAGAAGGUCCGAAGGGCAACCUGGUAACUUCACAUCACUCGAUGGUCCGAUCUUCUCUGAUCAAGAUCCAACGCUCCACAUUUUUGUGCCAUCAGACGGCCACCAUCACAGUCAGUCAAGAUCUAACCGUAAUCAAGGCAAUUGCAAGAAUCAAUAAACACUAGGACAACAUGGGAUCCUUCUACAGCGCGAUCCAAUGGACGAAAUCUUCCAGCACCUUGAUUGGACGGUCCGAGAUGCAUCCGACCUGAUCCCAUCUCUGCAGCGCGAUCCAACGACAGCGCUUCACCCAGAUCGUGAUCCGACGGCCCAGAAUCGCUUCCGGCUUGAUUUAUUAGAUGAAUUGGGUCCUUUAGAUGAAGAUCGGACGGCUGAAACAAUUUCUAGAGUUUCUUGAUGGAUUUAAGUGCUUUUUGAGCGAGAUUUGAGCCCCUAAACCCCC